CUGCACUAAACUAUUGUGGCGGUACGCUAUAUUUUUGUAAAUAUUAAUUUUAGUUUAGUUUCGUUUCUUCUUUCUACCCUUUGUUCUAUUGUUCUAUUUUCUUCUAAAACUUUCUUAUCUAUUCUCUGUCCCUUGGCUGGGAUAAGCAGUUCCUAGAACUUUGAGGAGCAAAGGUGUAAACAGAAGCCGGAGAAAAAAAAGAAGUGACGUAGCAGAUCAUUCGUAAACUGGACAGCAGAGUGUACGGACGAGGUGAGAAUACUGGGAGUCGUAUUUUCAAUGACCGGAUAGUUCAGAAAAAAGAUCGUGUUUUAAGGUCGUAUUGACGACUGUGGAAGAAAAAAUCCUAAUUAUUGAAGAAGAGAACUGGCCAGUUAUAAGAGAAGGGCGUGUGUUAUCCCACCCAACAGUAUGCAUAAAGAAACAAGCCGAAAAAAGGGACAAAACCCCAGAUAUCUCUAUUUCUAUCUUAUCUAUCAUUUUUUCUGUCUUCUUAAUUCUAUCCCUUUUUCUGUUAUUAGUGUUAAGUUAGUGUUUAAGGUUAGUUUUAAGGUUCCGGGUUAUAUUGUCGCUAUCGGGAUCUGUAUUGUACACGUGCUUUGGAUACAGCGAACUAUUAUUAUCGCUGUAAUUUCGCAUGCUACUGUUUGUACUGUGAAGUUGGAAUCCCCCGAAAUAGAAUCUGUAUAAAGACGUGAAAUAGCUUAAUUGGAAAAUUAUAUUCAACUUUUGUUACUUUAUCCUGUUUGCCUUUGUGGUGAAUUCUAAUUUAGCACACUUUUACACCAUAAACAAAAACACGCGCAGUGCAAGUCAAAACACGUUGCGUUAUAAACGCAAAGCGUCAACUAUUGGUCCAAGGUCACACGCACUGGUGUCGACUGAGUACAAAAGUUGAGAUCCGUAUCCGUAUCCGCGGAUCUAGACACUAAUGAUCCGUAUCCGCGGAUAUACAUUUUUAACGAUCCGGCACAUCACUAGUAUAUAUGUUGUAUUACCAGUCUCCAAAAAUUUUUUCAACAGUAAAAUUAUAUAGUAUUUCUUUUAAACUAUCAAAAAUUAAAGUUUUUGCAUUAGAUGAGUGCUAGCUCUGUCAUUUUUAGAAUAGAUAGAUUAACGUAUAUUAUUUUUACUGUAAAAAGGUAGCUGCUGUAAUGAUGACUUUAUAACUUUCUAAGCACAAACAAUAAUAUCGGAGUUGAAAUUGCUAUUUCUAAGAGUAGCAGAGGAUAUACUGUAGUUAUAAACAUGAAAAACGAUCAUGUAAUCAACGUUAAGAAGGAAAGGACUGAUUUGGAUUCAUUGAUAACCUGAUUAGGGGACAACAUGAUGAUGAAAGUCACAGAUUUUGAUUGAACUCUGAAUAUAUAGUGCAUUACCAACAACUGUCAUGUGCCAAGUAGUAAGACACUUCAAAGAAAAAAGAUAGGUUAAAAAUUGCAUAAUUACUUAAAAUCUGCAUUUCUAUCACUUGUAGAAUGGCUGGUGGCUCUGAGGCAUGCAAGUAAUCAGGUGGUCUGUGUUCCUCAUCAGUAUUGGUGGGUUUUUUCUACUGAAAGCAAUAAUUUUUACUUUAUUCUUGGUAUUUUUAAAUUUAUUAUAUUGCCAGGGAGAAAUCUGAUCUAUUUAUAGAAAACUACAAAUGUACAUAAUUAUCUACGUUUUCUAAAAAAAAAAAAAAAAAAACAAAGAAGAUAGCUUUGACAUCUCAUAAUAACAUUGAUCAUAGAAAUGUGUUCUGUAGAAGAAUCAUUGUAUGAAGAUAUUGCAGAAUUAUGUUUAAAGACUGCUUUCAUAUAUUAUGAAUUGUAAAUAUUACCAUUUUCAAAAGUAAAUUAUAAAUAAAUAAAUGUUAUGUACAAAUCCUUUACAUAUAUGAAUAUUCAAAAAUAAUUUUAAAAUAAAUAUGAUAAAUUUAAAAUACCAAGAAUAAAGUAAAAAUGAUAGUUUUCAGGGGAAAAAAUAACUCUGUGUUUCAAAUCUCUUCAGUAUCAAUCUCCUGAUUACAAAAUCAGUGUACCCCGUGGAACCAUCAGCCAUUCUACAAAUGAUAGAAAUGCUACAGGUUUUAAGUGAUUAUGCAAUUUUCAACUUCAGUUUUCUUGUUUAAUUUUGAGUAGUGCUCCCUACUGCUUGGCACAUGUCAGUGAUGCACUAUAUCCUCAUUGAAUUUGAUCAAAAUUGGUUACUCUAAUGCCAUGUUGUCUCCUUGUGAGAUGUACAGAACCUGAAUAUUAUUUUUCCAAGAUAUGAACCACAAUCACCUUGCUGGAAGACUGUAUACAUUACUCAAUAUAACGUAUGAAUCUUUUUAUUUUUUAUUGUCAUUAUUUUAUUUUUAUUAUUUGUUUCAUAUAAGCAUGCGAUCCUAUGUUUACAGUAAAUUUUUCAAAUUCCCACUUAAUUAAUGUUCCUUGUGCUUAAACAGAAUAUCUAUUGUACAACAUUGAGGUUGCUUAAGUUGCAAUCUAUCAUUUAUUCCAGUCAGAUAUAUGAGAAACUACAAUCUCAAAUGAAGUAUUUUUACCUUACAUUAUAUAUAUUAAUUGCUUUUUUAAUUGGCAUAUUGAGAUGAAUGCCUGACUCAAUUUAUCUCUAAGACUCUCAAGAUCUCACUUCUCUCAGAGAAGCUUCCUUAUUGGAAUGACUGAGAUGAACAUGAAACUCUGAUUCAAUUUGUCCUUGAUUGAUCAAGAUCUUGUGUACUCUGUCAAUCUUCUUGCUUCUUCCAUUUUUAUUUGAACCUUUGACCAUUGGACAAAUUAGCAUCCAAGACAGAUGAAAGGACUACAGUGCUGGGGUCCAAAUGCACAUGUUACCUGCUCACUGCUUUAUAAAAAAUGGCUUUAGGGUGAUAAAAUCAGGUUCAAUAAAAUAUUGGUUUGGUUUUUUUUUUUAACUAUUCUAAGGAUUGAUAAAAUUAGGCCUAACAAAUUAUAUCAAACAAUUGAGCAGUCAAACCAAAUUCAAACUCCCAAGUCUUGACAAUUAGAGAUUAUAUUUCAUGUGAAAAAAAUAGAAAUGAAUGUAUUUUAUGAGUAUUUAUUGUAAUCCUGGAAUCGUUUUAAGUUAUUUAAUGUUACAUAUUUAGGAUAUCCUAAUUCUGAUGAAUUAAAAUAUAAUUUAAAAAGCUGCAAAUUCAAAAGUAAAUCUUUACUAUUAACGCAAUAAAAAUAAAUGUUUAAAUUAAAAAACUAUUCAAAGUGGUCGGAAAUUUCAAUUUAAAAAAUAUAUAAAAUAUGAGGAAAACCCAUUCUGAUUGUUAACAUACAUUAUGAAAAACUACAAGAGAAUGAACACUUAAGUAAACCUGUGUAAUUUUUUGUACUGUUUUAAUUUAUUGUUUGUUGCAUUUUUAUUAUAAGUAGUAUUAUACAUUUGUAUUCAAAAUUAAAGCUACACACACAAAUGUAUAUGGCAAAAAUGCAGAAAUUAAUGGCCCUCUAUUACAAUGAAUCUUUCAAAUUCCUUCUUUUACUAAUGUAUUAAGAACACUUUCUCACUGUUAAGUCCUAGUAGAUGUCAGAAACAAUUUUGUUGUAUACAUAGUGCAUUACAUUUUGUUGCAUGGGUACAAUGCUAUCAUGCCUCAUUUGCAUGACAUGCAUAAUAAGAUGACACCUUGCUGAUUUACACAUGUAAGUUUUAGCUAGUCAUAUUUUCUGGUGUUGAUUUUACAUAAGACUUGUGUUUGUUGCUUUAAUUUUGGACACCAAAUAUAAUAAGACUAUAUAAAUACAGUAUUAAUAUCCAUUUAUUUUUGUUAUAAUUGAAGUGAAGCAUUACUGAAUCCUCUUCUAUAUGGGUUACAGAAUUGCAUUCAUUCUCAAAAUCUGAUGGGCCAGUUUUGAUAAAACCUUGCAUUUUCCAUUAAUUGUAGUGAGGAAUCCAAAAAUAUAAUAAAAAAGGAGGUCUGCAACACUGUUUCUAAGAAACAUUAGGUCAAAGUGACAAUGUCCAUGCUCUUUUAUGUGAUUGAGUGCACCUAACAAUUUAGGAAGCAAAAAUAAAAAAAAACAGCCUUACACCUAAUGGAAAAGGAUGCCAAAUGGAAAGUUUUUGAGUUAAUGUGUACCCAAGAUACAAAAUCAACAUAAUUUGUAAUGCCCUAAUUAUUUUUUGUUUCAAAAUAAAAAAAAAUCAUAUAUUUUCAAACAUUAUUGAUGUUAGGCAAUGGAUUGAUUGCAAUUUAUACAUAUUCUUGUCACUUUCUUAUGACAAGAUGGUCUAAAAAAUCCCUCACAGAAAACAGCAAUGUUACAUUUUACAGCAUUUUCAACUUCAUUUAUCCAAGUCUUUUGCCAUGAAAGAAAUACUUUAUCACAAACAUAGCAAUGCAAGUUAUUUCUGAAAACCAUGUGAAGGUAUUUGAGAAUUAUGGAAGUUAAAAUGAUUAAUGUUUAUAAGAAAGAAUUAUCAAUUUCUCCUUUAUUCUAUCUUAUAUAUAUGAGAUAUUAAACAGUGUAAUGUAAUUUUAUAUUAACUAGAUCAAUAAAAAAAAAGAAAAUAUAGGCAUUUACCAAUAUGAAUGAAACUCAGAGAAAACGAGUACUUAUUUAU
rnacentral:lncRNA from 1 species